rnacentral:rRNA from 1 species
UACAGAGGGUGCGAGCGUUAUUCGGAAUUACUGGGCGUAAAGCGUGCGUAGACGGUUAUUUAAGUCGGGUGUGAAAUCCCCGGGCUCAACCUGGGAAUGGCAUUUGGGACUGCAAGGCUGGAGUACGGCAGAGGAGACUGGAAUUCCUGGUGUAGCAGUGAAAUGCGUAGAUAUCAGGAGGAAUACCGAUGGCGAAGGCAGGUCUCUGGGAUGAUACUGACGCUCAUGCACGAAAGCGUGGGGAGCAAACAGG